UGCUGAUGCGGAACAGAAAAUGCAAAAACGUCGCUUGCUCAACCGCAAAUUGACGGCUACGCUGAAGCGCAUGCCGUGUCUGCGGAAUUUGAACCCCGAGGCACGUUCACACUGAAGACGGAGCGGCUAAACCGGGCAAAGCUCUUGGCCAGGCGGAUAAAAGCAGGCGUUAAACGAGGCAGCAAGCCCGAUCGCUCGCGGACCACUUUUUUUCCUGCCCGCCAGAGCUGUCCGCUUUGCUGCAGCCAAUUGGAACACCAGACGACGCUGGCGUGUGCGCGAUAAGGAUGGACGACCGGUGCCACGAGACGGCGACAAGUGCACCACAAAAACCUUUCCAGAGUUCCUUGGAAAAUCCUCCCAUGCACCUGCCAUGUACAUUGCCCCCCCCCCCUCCUCGAUGUGGCAUGCAAGAUGGCAGCAGCAGCUGUGGAACAGUUGAAGAGGCGAAGAAAGGUCCACAUUAUAAUAGGUUGUAUGUAAAUAAAACUGAUCGAACACAACCGAUUCGGCUUCCACUUUUGUCAAGACAAUUGUCAGCAAACAAAUGGAGUAAUUUCAGUAGGGCGAUACUAAUAGUGCAUAGAAAUUCUUGGAAGCCUCGUCAGCUUUCUUGCUGUUAACAGGCUGUGUUGGUGAGGUGGUUUAGGCAGGGAAUGCCAAUUCAUGAGGGAUGGUCAUGGCCACCAUGUUCAAUGUAUGUGCAGCAUCAAUCAGUUCUCUAGACCGAGUGCACUAAUGUCAUGGCAGGCCAGCACUUCGUCGCAUGAUAUAUUUUCAAACCUCGCAUGCUUUCUUUGGGGCUCUGAGAAAAUUAAUGAAGCAUGAAACUAAAAUCGGCAUGUUGCAGUUUUCAAUACAACCAUCACUGCAUUUGUCCAUUCUUGAAACAAAUUUUAUUGUACCAAAUGCAUACAGAAUUGUGGAAUAUCCGAAGUACAUUUUGCUUGUUUUGGUCAAGCAGCUGGCAGAACAAAACCACAAAGUUCCAAAGCAGGAAGGUAACACUUCUUUUGAAGUACACAACGAGUGCAAAACUUGCCGCCAAUUAAAAAAAGAAGGGAGCUGCUACACACCAUUUCUUGGUUCUUUGACCAUUUAUUUUUUCUUUUGUGGCUGAUGUUUAAAAAUCCUUGCUAUAGCAAAUGCAAAGACAUCAAAAAUCAACGCACGACAGAUAUUGGUACUAUGGUGUAAAGUAAUGAAGAUAUAAUUUUGCAUGCACAUUAUUUCGUCUGAAAUAGAGGGAUAUAGCACAAACGUUGCUCUUCAAUCCCAAUAAAAUAUAAGGAACUCGUGGGCUACAAGAGGGCUACGGAUGAUUGUUGAGGGCCUCGGAUUCUGUAAUGUGCAGCUAUACUUAAGUACACAAGCAUUUUUGGAAUCUGCCUCUACCUGGGUGCAGCUUUGUGACCUGGAAUGAAAAGCCACAGCCAUCGAGAUCGAGCUGCUGCAGUGGCGACAUCACAGUAAAAGGUAAUAGCGAAAAAUUAAAACAAUAAUAUGGCCAUGCAACUUGCAACAAAUCAGAUAGGUCACCUGAAGCUUCUAUUUCCAAUUUUUCUGGUGUUGCAUAGAAGGGCAAAAAUCUUGAAAAGUGAUAGUGUACGACUUUCAUGCAUAAACAAUUGUGCAUAUCUACUUUUUUUUAACCAUGCAGAUAUUUAGCAAAAAGUUUUGAGCACGGAGAGCCCGGCGUUUUUGCAAAGGAGUUUCUAGGUGAGGUGGACACACUAUGCUGCUAAUAAUGCGAGUUUCAGAAAAUUAAUUUUGAAAAAUUCAGUCACUUUUUUAUUAGUAACUUGGCGGCAGCCUUCUAAAUGGCAUAUUUGGAGGCAGUCGCAUGUGAACGCACACCCUUUCUUUUUCUAAAUCUCGAAAAUUGCACUUAUUUUGAGAUAUUCAUUAUCGCGCUCAAUUGAGUACAAUCAAAACUUGGUGCAUCCUCCUCCACAUCAGGCGGCAGUGCCCUGUCAAGAAGUGUGGGACAAAGCUUAAAUGAUAGCCUGACAUGGCACACUGACGCACAUGCUUGCCAGGCAAAGUGUGUCGUAUCAGCAGCUACAAUGACUGGCCAAGAUGUUUCCAUCUGAUGAGAUAGCGGGACCUUCUUUUCUGCACUCCCAGCACACUCAGUUCCAAUAUUGCCUCGAUUUACCAGUGAAAUUCAAUGAUGAAUAUCUUGAAUUAGGUGCAACUUUCAAGAUUUGUAAGAAAUGAGAGUGCAUUAGAGGAAUUCCUCUGCAAGAAUGCCACAUUUUCCGCGCUCAUAACUUGAAAACAAGAAAAUCUGUAUGGUAAUAAAAGACACCCUAUACGUAUACAGUGUGCAUUGGAGCAUUUCAUGCAACCAAUAUUCAAGCACCUUCUGUCUACAAAGAAUUCAUAAAGCAAAUUUAUGCAUUAAUACUGGAAUCAGUUACGAGCACUGGAAAUGCAAACACUGUUACGAACCCUGGUCACAUGCCAGGCAUUGUGUUGCUGCUCUCUGCGUAGGGCCUAUGAAUAAAAACCACCUUCAACAUCGCACAGUAAGCUACUAAUUGCUAUGUGUAGGAAGACUUACAGUUCUUCAAAUGCAAUUAUGACCUAGACAUUCUAAAGCUUUUCUAAUAAUGUACUUUUAGUGAACAAGUCCCCAAAACUUGGAACAACUCUGAAGCUAUAAUGCCAUUAUUAUCUGAAAGAUGCACUACACAUUUUUUUAACGCAGUAAGGAAACAUUCAUAAUCGACAAUGCCACCAUAGACAUGAGAGUCAUAUAAUAUUGCACUGCGUGCAGCAAGGAUAGCACAAUCUCGCACAAAAGAUUAGUCUCUCCCGCAGCCUUUGAGGCCCCCUUUAUUAUGUCUCGCUUAUGAUGCCGUAACAUAGUACGAAACCAUGAUGACGUAACUUAUGAUCGUGAGUUACUCUUGAAAGAAAGCUUGUGCACACAUGCAUAUUCCUGCAUUGUAACUCUGGAGUGCACUUACAGUAAGGACACUGUGAAAAGAAGAAAAAUAAGGCCAACAGCAAGAACCAGGCAGCGCAGUGCUAUUUGCACCUUCUCGGCUGUUGUCGGUUUAAGUCACCUUUGCUGCAGCAGAGUCGUGUUAUGCGGCGAAGCAUAUUUA